rnacentral:rRNA from 1 species
GUAGUCCACGCCGUAAACGUUGGGCGCUAGGUGUGGGCCUCAUUCCACGAGGUCCGUGCCGCAGCUAACGCAUUAAGCGCCCCGCCUGGGGAGUACGGCCGCAAGGCUAAAACUCAAAGAAAUUGACGGGGGCCCGCACAAGCAGCGGAGCAUGUGGCUUAAUUCGAUGCAACGCGAAGAACCUUACCUGGGCUUGACAUGCAAGGAAAUCUCACAGAGAUGUGAGGUCCGUAAGGGCCUUGCACAGGUGGUGCAUGGCUGUCGUCAGCUCGUGUCGUGAGAUGUUGGGUUAAG